AACGAACGCUGGCGGCAGGCUUAACACAUGCAAGUCGAGCGCCCCGCAAGGGGAGCGGCAGACGGGUGAGUAACGCGUGGGAAUCUACCCAUCUCUACGGAAUAACGCAUGGAAACGUGUGCUAAUACCGUAUACGUCCUUCGGGAGACAGAUUUAUCGGAGAUGGAUGAGCCCGCGUUGGAUUAGCUAGUUGGUGGGGUAAAGGCCUACCAAGGCGAAGAUCCAUAGCUGGUCUGAGAUGAUGAUCAGCCACACUGGGACUGAGACACGGCCCAGACUCCUACGGGAGGCAGCAGUGGGGAAUAUUGGACAAUGGGCGCAAGCCUGAUCCAGCCAUGCCGCGUGAGUGAUGAAGGCCCUAGGGUUGUAAAGCUCUUUCACCGGUGAAGAUAAUGACGGUAACCGGAGAAGAAGCCCCGGCUAACUUCGUGCCAGCCGCCGCGGUAACAC
rnacentral:rRNA from 1 species